rnacentral:rRNA from 1 species
AACGAACGCUGGCGGCAUGCCUAACACAUGCCAGUCGAACGAGACCUUCGGGUCUAGUGGCGCACGGGUGCGUAACGCGUGGGAACCUGCCCUUAGGUUCGGAAUAACUCCCCGAAAGGGGUGCUAAUACCGGAUAAUGUCUUCGGACCAAAGAUUUAUCGCCUUUGGAUGGGCCCGCGUUGGAUUAGCUAGUUGGUAGGGUAAAAGCCUACCAAGGCGACGAUCCAUAGCUGGUCUGAGAGGAUGAUCAGCCACACUGGGACUGAGACACGGCCCAGACUCCUACGGGAGGCAGCAGUGGGGAAUAUUGGACAAUGGGCGAAAGCCUGAUCCAGCAAUGCCGCGUGAGUGAUGAAGGCCUUAGGGUUGUAAAGCUCUUCUACCCGGGAUGAUAAUGACAGUACCGGGAGAAUAAGCUCCGGCUAACUCCGUG